UACCAGCACCCGAGUGGUCGGGACGAUUAUUGGGCCUAAAGCAUCCGUAGCCGGUCCUACAAGUCUUCCGUUAAAUCCACCUGCUUAACAGAUGGGCUGCGGAAGAUACUAUAGGGCUAGGAGGCGGGAGAGGCAAGCGGUACUCAGUGGGUAGGGGUAAAAUCCUCUGAUCCAUUGAAGACCACCAGUGGCGAAGGCGGCUUGCCAGAACGCGCUCGACGGUGAGGGAUGAAAGCUGGGGAGCA
rnacentral:rRNA from 1 species